GGCACGGUGGUGCAGUGGUUAGCACCGUCACCUCACAGGAAGAAUGUCGUGGGUUCGAACCCGACCUGGGGCC